rfam:Xenopus laevis strain J chromosome 1L, whole genome shotgun sequence.
AACAUAUGAUGACACUGUUUCGGUCCCAUAUGAGUGUCUGUGAUUAUUGCCAUGAGAUCAAUACUGAUGUU